GAUGAACGCUGGCGGCGUGCCUAAUACAUGCAAGUCGAACGAAGAUCUAGCUUGCUAGAUCUUAGUGGCGAACGGGUGAGUAAUACAUAAAUAAUCUGCCCAUAUGACUGGGAUAACUAUUGGAAACGAUAGCUAAUACCGGAUAGGUUGAUUGGAGGCAUCUCUGAUUAAUUAAAGUAGGAUUUCUACACAAAUGGAUGAGUUUAUGGCGCAUUAGUUAGUUGGUGGGGUAACGGCCUAACAAGACGAUGAUGCGUAGCCGACCUGAGAGGGUGACCGGCCACACUGGGACUGAGACACGGCCCAGACUCCUACGGGAGACAGCAGUAGGGAAUUUUCGGCAAUGGGCGCAAGCCUGACCGAGCAACGCCGCGUGAGUGAUUAAGGCCUUCGGGUUGUAAAGCUCUGUUGUAAGGGAAGAACAUUCAGGAUAGGAAAUGAUCUUGAACUGACGGUACCUUACCAGAAAGCCACGGCUAACUACGUGCCAGCAGCCGCCGUAA
rnacentral:rRNA from 1 species